CUCUUAUUCCGAGCUGGUGGAGGGGACAGGCCCUAAGAAACCCGGCAACCUGCUGCAUUUGUAGCGUUGGUGCCAAACCUGAACAAGGUGAACAAGCCUUGGAUGAUAAGAG
rnacentral:ncRNA from 2 species